UACGGAGGGAGCUAGCGUUAUUCGGAAUUACUGGGCGUAAAGCGCACGUAGGCGGCUUUGUAAGUAAGAGGUGAGAGCCCAGAGCUCAACUCUGGAAUUGCCUUUUAGACUGCAUCGCUUGAAUCAUGGAGAGGUCAGUGGAAUUCCGAGUGUAGAGGUGAAAUUCGUAGAUAUUCGGAAGAACACCAGUGGCGAAGGCGGCUGACUGGACAUGUAUUGACGCUGAGGUGCGAAAGCGUGGGGAGCAAACAGG
rnacentral:rRNA from 1 species